rnacentral:rRNA from 2 species
ACGCUGGCGGCAGGCCUAACACAUGCAAGUCGAGCGGAAACGACACUAUCGAUCCUUCGGAUGCGUUAAUGGGCGUCGAGCGGCGGACGGGUGAGUAAUGCCUAGGAAAUUGCCUUGAUGUGGGGGAUAACCAUUGGAAACGAUGGCUAAUACCGCAUAAUGCCUACGGGCCAAAGAGGGGGACCUUCGGGCCUCUCGCGUCAAGAUAUGCCUAGGUGGGAUUAGCUAGUUGGUGAGGUAAUGGCUCACCAAGGCGACGAUCCCUAGCUGGUCUGAGAGGAUGAUCAGCCACACUGGAACUGAGACACGGUCCAGACUCCUACGGGAGGCAGCAGUGGGGAAUAUUGCACAAUGGGCGAAAGCCUGAUGCAGCCAUGCCGCGUGUAUGAAGAAGGCCUUCGGGUUGUAAAGUACUUUCAGUUGUGAGGAAGGGGGUAACGUUAAUAGCGUUAUCUCUUGACGUUAGCAACAGAAGAAGCACCGGCUAACUCCGUGCCAGCAGCCGCGGUAAUACGGAGGGUGCGAGCGUUAAUCGGAAUUACUGGGCGUAAAGCGCAUGCAGGUGGUUCAUUAAGUCAGAUGUGAAAGCCCGGGGCUCAACCUCGGAACUGCAUUUGAAACUGGUGAACUAGAGUGCUGUAGAGGGGGGUAGAAUUUCAGGUGUAGCGGUGAAAUGCGUAGAGAUCUGAAGGAAUACCAGUGGCGAAGGCGGCCCCCUGGACA